CACCACCAACAGGCGGAACCCCUCACCACGAAUCUUCCAGCUGUCACCACCAACAGGCAGAGCCCUCCAGGCAUUCACCACCAACAGGCGGAACCGCUCACCAUGAACCCCCCAGCUCUCACCACCAACAGGCGGAGCCCUCUCAGCUCUGACCGCCAACAGGCGGCAGCGCUCACCACAAACCUCUCAGCUCACACCACCAACAGGCAGAGCCCUCCCAGCUCUCACCACCAACAGGCGGAACCCCUCACCAUGAACCUCCUGGCGCUCACCACCAACAGGCGGAGCCCUCCCAGCUCCGACCGCCAACAGGCGGAGCCCUCCAGGCAUUCACCACCAACAGGAGGAGCCCUCCCAGCUCUCACCACCAACAGGCGGCAGUGCUCACCACGAACACCCUGGCGCUCACCACCAACAGGUGGAACCCCUCACCACGACCUCCUGGCUCUCACCACCAACAGGCGGAGCCCUCCCAGCUCUCACCACCAACAGGCGGAGCCCUCCAGACCUCCACCACCAACAGGUGGAACCCCUCACCACGAACCUCCCAGCUCUCACCACCAACAGGUGGAACCCCUCACCAUGAACCUCCCAGCUCUCACCACCAACAGGCAGAGCCCUCCCAGGCAUUCACCAUCAACAGGCGGAGCCCUCCAGGCAUUCACCACCAACAGGCGGAGCCCUCCCAGGCAUUCACCACCAACAGGCGGAGCCCUCCAGCCAUUCACCAUCAACAGGCGGAACCCCUCACCA
rnacentral:lncRNA from 1 species